AGAGUUUGAUCCUGGCUCAGGACGAACGCUGGCGGCGUGCUUAACACAUGCAAGUCGAGCGGUAAGGCCUUUCGGGGUACACGAGCGGCGAACGGGUGAGUAACACGUGGGUGAUCUGCCCUGCACUUCGGGAUAAGCCUGGGAAACUGGGUCUAAUACCGGAUAUGACCUCCUAUCGCAUGGUGGGUGGUGGAAAGAUUUAUCGGUGCAGGAUGGGCCCGCGGCCUAUCAGCUUGUUGGUGGGGUAAUGGCCUACCAAGGCGACGACGGGUAGCCGACCUGAGAGGGUGACCGGCCACACUGGGACUGAGACACGGCCCAGACUCCUACGGGAGGCAGCAGUGGGGAAUAUUGCACAAUGGGCGAAAGCCUGAUGCAGCGACGCCGCGUGAGGGAUGACGGCCUUCGGGUUGUAAACCUCUUUCAGCAGGGACGAAGCGCAAGUGACGGUACCUGCAGAAGAAGCACCGGCUAACUACGUGCCAGCAGCCGCGGUAAUACGUAGGGUGCAAGCGUUGUCCGGAAUUACUGGGCGUAAAGAGUUCGUAGGCGGUUUGUCGCGUCGUUUGUGAAAACCAGCAGCUCAACUGCUGGCUUGCAGGCGAUACGGGCAGACUUGAGUACUGCAGGGGAGACUGGAAUUCCUGGUGUAGCGGUGAAAUGCGCAGAUAUCAGGAGGAACACCGGUGGCGAAGGCGGGUCUCUGGGCAGUAACUGACGCUGAGGAACGAAAAGCGUGGGUAGCGAACAGGAUUAGAUACCCUGGUAGUCCACGCCGUAAACGGUGGGCGCUAGGUGUGGGUUCCUUCCACGGAAUCCGUGCCGUA
rnacentral:rRNA from 1 species